rnacentral:lncRNA from 1 species
GAAAUCUUCACCACGGAAGAGGAGCCCAGACUCCGGGGAUCUCCUGGAUGAAUCACAAUUGAGUUACUGGACCAGCAUGAAGGGCCAGAGGCAAAGUUCACCCAACAUUUGGCAGUUUAUGUAUCUCCAGGGCCCUCCUGGUUUCACUGCUUUUAGUGAGCUCUGAAAUCCAAUAUUCUUUGCUCGGCUCCUCUGAAUUGUGAAUCUUCAAUGCUUUGCAGAUGCCUCCCUUCUCACCUGGAUCACCUUGCUUCCUUCAAGAAAAAAGGGGUGGAAAGAGCCCACAGGAACUGAAAAGCAUUUGAAACUAAAGAGGCCAAGUAACAAAGAGCUUGAAGACAAGCACAGUUCUCAGGCCCUGGAUAGAGGCUGGCAGCGUCAGACCGACAGAACCAAGACGUCGGGUCGGAGGGGCAACGCUUGUGGCUGCGGAGCACAGGAUAUGAAUCAGAGAGAAAGAAGCGAAGUCUUGUCCCAGGAAGAACGGGAAGGACUGGCAGAGGAGUUUUCACUGACUUGUCUUUGGAAAAAGUGGAGAAGAGCCGGUAAACUUGGUUUCCUCACUCCUGCUCAUUAG